AACCGUGUUUAGGAAAUGUCAACUCUCUCCAUUGAUGGGAACUCUAGUGAAAAUCCAGUGAUUAGUCAUGAAAAGUCUGAGGAAACAAUGAUAGGUUGCGAUUCUACAGGUAUUACUCCUCUUUCUGUUGAAAUUUCCAUGAAAACACAAGAAAAUAAGGGAAUAGAAAAUAUGCUCUCUAUUGCUUUAGAAGGGGUUGUUGCAGAGGAAAAUGUAUGAGGGUUUGAGUCUCAG
rnacentral:lncRNA from 1 species